rnacentral:rRNA from 1 species
AUUGAACGCUGGCGGCAGGCCUAACACAUGCAAGUCGAGCGGAGCGGCGGACGGGUGAGUAAUGCCUAGGAAUCUGCCUGGUAGUGGGGGAUAACGUCCGGAAACGGGCGCUAAUACCGCAUCCUAUCAGAUGAGCCUAGGUCGGUUUAGCUAGUUGGUGGGGUAACGGCCAACCAAGGCGACGAUCCGUCACUGGUCUGAGAGGAUGAACAGUCACACUGGAACUGAGACACGGGCCAGACUCAUACGGGAGGCAGCAGUGGGGAAAAUUGGACAAUGGGCGAAAGCCUGAUCCAGCCAUGCCGCGUGUGUGAAGAAGGUAUUCGGAUUGUAAAGCACUUUAAGAGGGGGGGCGUUACCAACAGAAGAAGCACCGGCUAACUGCGUGCCAGCAGCCGCGGUAAUAC